rnacentral:rRNA from 1 species
GACUGCAGGCUGCAACUCGCCUGCACGAAGUCGGAAUUGCUAGUAAUCGUAGGCCAGCAUACUACGGUGAAUACGUUCCCGGGCCUUGUACACACCGCCCGUCACACCAUGAGAGUUGGGAAUACCCGAAGCCUGUGAGCUAACUUUUAGAGGCAGCAGUCGAAGGUAGAAUCAAUGAUUGGGGUGAAGUCGUAACAAGGUAUC